rnacentral:rRNA from 1 species
UACGAGGGGUGCGAGCGUUGCUCGGAAUUAUUGGGCGUAAAGGGUAGGUAGGUGGUCUCGUUUGUCAAAGGUGAAAGCCUUGGGCUUAACCCAAGAAGUGCCUUUGAAACGGCGAGACUCGAGUCCUGGAGAGGGUCGUGGAAUUCCCGGUGUAGCGGUGAAAUGCGUAGAGAUCGGGAGGAACACCAGAGGCGAAGGCGGCGACCUGGACAGGUACUGACACUCAACUACGAAAGCGUGGGGAGCAAACAGG